AUUGAACGCUGGCGGCAGGCCUAACACAUGCAAGUCGAACGAGUGGCGGACGGGUGAGUAAUUUCUGGGAAACUGCCCGAUGGAGGGGGAUAACUACUGUAAACGGUAGCUAAUACCGCAUACCAUCGGAUGUGCCCAGAGGGGAUUAGCUAGUGGGUGGGGUAACGGCUCACCUAGGCGACGAUCCCUAGCUGGUCUGAGAGGAUGACCAGCCACACUGGAACUGAGACACGGUCCAGACUCCUACGGGAGGCAGAAGUGGGGAAUAUUGCACAAUGGGCGAAAGCCUGAUGCAGCCAUGCCGCGUGUAUGAAGAAGGCCUUCGGGUUGUAAAGUACUUUCAGCGGGGAGGCGUUACCCGAAGAAGAAGCACCGGCUAACUCCGUGCCAGCAGCCGCGGUAAUAC
rnacentral:rRNA from 1 species